UACGUAAGGACCGAGCGUUGUCCGGAAUCAUUGGGCGUAAAGGGUACGUAGGCGGUUAGAAAAGUUAGAAGUAAAAGGCUGUAGCUUAACUAUUGUAAGCAUUUGAAACUGUUUAACUUGAGAAGUGGAGAGGAAAGUGGAAUUCCUAGUGUAGCGGUGAAAUGCGCAGAUAUUAGGAGGAAUACCGGUGGCGAAGGCGACUUUCUGGCCAUAAUCUGACGCUGAGGUACGAAAGCGUGGGUAGCAAACAGG
rnacentral:rRNA from 1 species